rnacentral:rRNA from 1 species
UACGUAGGGGGGCGAGCGUUAUCCGGAAUCACUGGGCGUAAAGGGCGCGUAGGUGGCGCGACAAGUCAGUGGUGAAAGUUCGACGCUCAACGUCGAAUCGGCCACUGAUACUGUUGGGCUUGAGCACUGUAGAGGCUAAUGGAAUUCCGGGUGUAGCGGUGGAAUGCGUAGAGAUCCGGAAGAACACCGGUGGCGAAGGCGGCACUCUGGGACGGUACUGACGCUGAGACGCGAAAGCGUGGGGAGCGAACAGG